AAGAGACAGGUGAAUCAUCGAAUCUUUGAACGCACAUUGCGCCCUUUGGUAUUCCUUAGGGCAUGCCUGUUCGAGCGUCAUUUCAAAAUUCAAGCUCAGCUUGGUGAUGGGUGUCUGUCCUGCCUUGUGCGUGUGGACUCGCCUCAAAAGCAGUUGGCAGCUUCCUCUAUGGGCUCUAAACGCAGCAGAUUUGCGUCGCAUGCUCUGGAGCGAGGCUUUCCAGUAAGCGAAACCCCCCAAGAAUCGACCUCGGAUCAGGUAGGGAUACCCGCUGAACUUAAGCAUAUCAAUAAGCGGAGG
rnacentral:misc_RNA from 1 species